GAUGAAGAACGCAGCGAAAUGCGAAAAGUAGUGUGAAUUGCAGAAUUCAGUGAAUCAUCGAAUCUUUGAACGCACAUUGCGCCCUUUGGCAUUCCGAAGGGCAUGCCUGUUCGAGCGUCAUUUAUCAACCCUCAAGCCCGGCUUGCGGUUGGGUCCCGCCGUGGGCGACCACGGCGGACCCGAAAGGUAAUGGCGGUGCCCGUGGGGCCCUGGACGCAGCGAGCUUCUCGGCACGCGUCCCGGCGGUCCCCGGCGCCGUCUCCACCAAUCCACCACGCAGAUUGACCUCGGAUCAGGUAGGGAUACCCGCUGAACUUAAGCAUAUCAAUAAGCGGAGGA
rnacentral:misc_RNA from 1 species